UAUGUGGUAAUGAACACUCCCACGUGCCCACAUACACACGCGUACACACACUUGCAGAACUGAGGCAGGAAAAUAGGGUCUGGAGGCAGGGAACAUAAGGCUGAUUUACACUUCAGCUAUGACAGGAAAUAUCCUCUCCAUAGGGCAGACACCGAGUAAAUGACUGUAACUUUACUUUGUCCUCUCCAUUUACAGCGGGCAUACUCGAAGCAACCAAUGAAAUCCUUUAGGGGGUAUUUUAAACUCCUAAAAAUUCCUUAAUAGGGCCUUUGAGCUCCUAUGCUUGGGCCCUCUCCCACACUGUGGAGUGUACUUUCACUUUCAAUAAAUUCCUUUGUCCCUUCCUUGCUUUGUGCGUUUUGUCCAAUUCUUUGUUCAAGACACCAAGAACCUCGACACGAACCACCUUUAACAUAGUUUGGUGAACCAGCCUGGAGGCAGAGUCAAGCAUGAUCCCUAAGGCUGCUCAGGGAGAGAGAACCUAGAAACCUGGCAUGCUGGCAAAAGGAGACCAUCAAGCUUCAGAUGAUCAUGCAACAAAAGUCCCAGCUAGUUCCAGGUGAAGACAACACACCUGGCCUUCAAAAAGCUACUCUGCCUCCACUAGAGAGAACAGGGCGAGAGUUCCAUGAUCCCCAGUAGAGUCUCACUCUGUGUCACAGGCUGAAGUGCAGUGGCACAAUCUUGGCUCACUGCAACCUCCACCUCCCGGGUUCAAGUGAUUCUCCUGCUUCAGCCUCCGGAGUAGCUGGGACUACAGAGUGAAGUUUGACUUAUUCCUGUGGCCAACAUGGCUUAUGGACACCAAGGACAAAUAAGUCAGAAUAACUUGAUGGAAAAGACCUUCAGCGAUAACUACAUAGUUUUCAUCUCUUGUUAUAUAAUAAAAGCUACCACCUGCAGUUCUCACAGCAGUAGAAUUCCAAAUCAGCCGCUGCAAAAUCAGCAACAGCAGCUGUAACCUGGUUUUUAGAGAAGUUGAAAUCAAUUUUCACAGGUAACUUAAAGUUUAUACAAAUGCAGAUUGUGUUCGCCAGGGUUUAACAUUUGUAUAAUAGUCAUAAAGAUAAUAGUACGAUAAAGAGUUAUUCUUACUGAAUUUCAAUACACAGUCUCUUCUUUUCUGUUAUGGUCUUCAAAGGUAUUAUUUAAGCUUAAUUACAUUUAUGAAAACAAAUUAAUAAAAAUGUCAAAGUUGGGAUUUAAAGAGGUAUACACUUACUAAAAUAAGGUAUGUUUCUUAAACAAAAUGUAUUCUAUUUUAAUCAUUAAUUUAAGACUUUCAGUUCUUCAUGAAUCAGUGACCCAUCAAUAGUGUAUCUUUUACUGUAAGUUAAUUUCAAUCCUAGAUUUGUAUACAAUUAAAGUAACAUAUUUAUCUUAAUCUUUUAAGUUUUUAUAUAUCAUCCAGAAAAAUGAGAUAUCUAUAAUAGUCUUUCAGUUCUGUAAACUUUUCUCUUUUUUCUUUCUUUAAUUUUUUUUUUACUUUUUAUUUUUGGUAACAAUGGUUUUACAUAUUUAUGUGGUAGAUGUACCAUUUUGAUACAAGCAUAAAAUGUGUAAUAAUAAAAUCUAGGUAAUUGGGAUAUUCAUUACAUAAAAUAUUUAUAAUUUAUGUGUGUUGGGAACAUUCCAAAUCUCUUCUUCUAGUUAUUUUUAAAUUUACAAUAAAUUAUUAUUAACUGUAGUCACCCUAUUGUGCUACUGAACACUAGACCUUAUUCUAUUAACCAUCCCCUCUUUAUAACCCCCCGCAAACCCACUACCCUUCCCAACCUCUGGUAACUGUCAUUCUACUCUCUGUCUUUAUGAGAUCAGUUUUCUUUAGUUCCCAUAUAUAAGUGAAAACAUGCAACAUUUAUCUUUCUGUGCCUGGCUUAUUUCACUGAACAUAGUAUCCUCCAGUUCCAUCCAUGUUGUUAUAAUUAUCAUGAUUUCAUUCUUUUGUGUGACUGAAUAAUAAUCCAUUGUGUAUAUAUACCACAUUUUCUGUAUUCAUUCAUUUGUUGUUUGACACAGUUUGAUUUCAUAUCUUGGCUAUGGCAAAUAGUGCUGCAAUAAACAUGGGUGUGCCAACAUCUCUCUCCAAUAGAUGUAUUUCCUUUAUUUUGAAUAAAUACCCAGUAGUGAGAUUGCUGGAUUAUAUUGUAGUUCUAUUUUUAGUUUUUUAAGGAACCUCCUUACUGCUUUCCAUAGUGACUAUACUAAUUUACAUCCCACCGAUAGUGUAUGAGUGUUCCUCCUUCUCCACCUCCUUACCACCAUUUAUUUUCUGUCUUUUUGUAUUUUUGUUAUCCCAUUUGUCCAUUUUGGUUUUCAUUGCCUGUGCUUUUGAGGUCUUAUUCAACAAAUUUUGCCCAGACUAAUGUACUCAAAUAUUUUCCCUAUGUUUUCUUCUAGUAGUUUCAGGUCUUACAUUUAAGUCUUUAAUACAUUUAGAUUUGUUUUUGCAUAUGGUAAGAGAGAGGGUACUAAUUUCAUUCUUCUGCAUAUGGUUAUCUAGUUUUUCAAGCAUCAAUUAUUGAAAAGACUGUCCUUGCUGCAGUGUAUGUUUUUGGUACUUUGUCAAAAAUGAAUUGACUGUAAAUGUGUGGAUUGAUUUGUAGGUUAUCUAUUAUGUUCUAUGUGUCUGUUUUUAUGGCAGUACCAUGCUGAUUUUAAUACUAUAGCUUUGUAGUAUAAUUUGAAGUCAGAUACUGUGCUUCUUCCAGCUUUGUUCUCUUUGUUCAGAAUUGUUGUAGGUAUUCCAGGUCGUUUGUGGUUCCAUAUACAUUUUAGAAUUUUUUUUUAUUUCUGUGAAGAAUUUCAUUAGUACUUUGACACAUACUGUAUUGAAUCUGUAGAUAAUGUUAGGCAGUAUAGACAUCUUAAUAAUAUUGAUUUUUCUAAUUCAUGAUUAUGAAAUAUCUUUCCAUUUUUGUGUCUUCAAUUUACUCCCUUGAUGUUUUAUAGCAUUUUUAUCAACAAAAAUUGUGUAUGUUUAUAAUAUACAGCAUGAUGUUUUGAAAUAUGUAUAUAUUGUAGAAUGGGUAAAUCGAGCUAACUAACAUAUGUAUUCCCUCAUAUGUAUAUAUAUUUGUGUGUGUGUGUAUGGCGAGAACACAUAAAAUCUAUUUUCAAGUUAUUUACAUGUGGGUGGAUUAUCGUUGUACAUUGGCUUAUAACUUAAUUUGUUGUUAAGUGACAAAAGUGGAUGGAUAGUAUGCUUCCUUUUAUGUGGAAGAGGGAACUUGGGGAGCUUAGGGAGUGCACACGCUGGAGGGACUUUUUAUUUUAGCAAUGCUUCUUGCAGUACAUUUAUAACUCACGUAUAGAAAACUUUCACAAUUUUUCAUAAGCAUUUUGCAAUUAUGAUUAAGUGGAUUUUUCAAAGCAAUACAAAUAGAAGGCCAAGGAAGGUGGCUUAUGUCUAUAAUCCCAGCACUUUGGGAGGCCAAGAUGGGCUGAUCACCUGAAGUCAGGGGUUCAAGACCAGCCUGGCCAACGUGGUGAAAUUCUGUCUCUACUAAAAAUACAAAAAUUAGCCAGACACGGUAGCACACAUAUGUAAUCCAAGCUACUCUGGAGGCUGAGGCAGGAGAAUUAUUUGAACCUGAGAGUG
rnacentral:lncRNA from 1 species